GCCCUAGUAGCUCAGAGCCAGAGCC
rnacentral:tRNA from 1 species